UUGUAAGUUUCGGGGUUAGUUGGUUGGUCAUGCCUCUGGUAUGUACUGGUCUCACUGAUUCCUCCUUCCUGAUGAGCCGUAAUGCCAUUAAUUUGGUGUUGGCGGGGAAUUUGGACUGUUACUUGAAGAAAUUAGAUUGUUUAAAGCAAGCUAACGCUUGAAUACAUUAGCAUGGAAUAAUGAAAUAGGACGUUCGAUCCUAUUUUGUUGGUUUCUAGGAUUGACGUAAUGAUUAAUAGGGAUAGUUGGGGGCAUUAGUAUUCAAUUGUCAGAGGUGAAAUUCUUGGAUUUAUUGAAGACUAACUACUGAGAAAGCAUUUGCCAAGGAUGUUUUCAUUAAUCAAGAACGAAAGUUAGGGGAUCGAAGACGAUCAGAUACCGUCGUAGUCUUAACCAUAAACUAUGCCGACUAGGGAUCGGAUGAUGUUUAAUUUUUAAUGACUC
rnacentral:rRNA from 1 species